GCAAGUCGAACGGUAACAGAACUAGCUUGCUACUUGCCGGCGACCGGCGCACGGGUGCGCAACGCGUAUGGAACCUACCUUCUACAGGGGAAUAGCCCAGGGAAACUUGGAUUAAUGCCCCGUGGUACCGGUUAACAGCAUUGUUUACCGGUUAAAGCCUUCGGGCGGUAGAAGAUGGCCAUGCGUACCAUUAGUCAGUUGGUAAGGUAACGGCUUACCAAGACCGCGAUGGUUAGGGGCCCUGAGAGGGGGAUC
rnacentral:rRNA from 1 species